rnacentral:rRNA from 1 species
UAGGGAAUCUUCCGCAAUGGACGAAAGUCUGACGGAGCAACGCCGCGUGAGUGAUGAAGGUUUUCGGAUCGUAAAGCUCUGUUGCCAGGGAAGAACGUCUUCUGGAGUAACUGCCAGGAGAGUGACGGUACCUGAGAAGAAAGCCCCGGCUAACUACGUGCCAGCAGCCGCGGUAAUACGUAGGGGGCAAGCGUUGUCCGGAAUUAUUGGGCGUAAAGCGCGCGCAGGCGGCUGUUUAAGUCUGGUGUAUAAUCCUGGGGCUCAACUCCGGGUCGCACUGGAA